rnacentral:rRNA from 1 species
UGGUUAAUAAACCAAAAGGCAUAACAAAAGUAAAGUAAGCUUUGCUUAAUUAGGGAGGAUAAUUAUUUUAUAAUUCGCACUCCCGGGGCGUCUAUUACUCAUUGCGAGUAAAGGCGCACCUAGAGCGUACACGUUGGGACCCGAAAGAUGGUGAACUAUGCCUGGCCAGGAUGAAGCCAGGGGAAACCCUGGUGGAGGUCCGUAGCGAUUCUGACGUGCAAAUCGAUCGUCAGAGCUAGGUAUAGGGGCGAUAGACUUAUCGAACUAUCUAGUAGCUGGUUCCUUCCGAAGUUUCCCUCAGGAUAGCUGGUGUCAAUGAUGAUUGAGUCUCAUCUGGUAAAGCGAAUGAUUAGAGGCCUUGGGGCCGAAACGACCUCAACCUAUUCUCAAACUUUAAAUGGAUGAGAGCCUUGGCUUGCUUAAAA